CUACAGGGGUUUCUAAUCCUGUUUGCUCCCCACACUUUCGCACCUCAGCGUCAGGUUCGAGCCAGUGAGCCGCCUUCGCCACUGGUGUUCUUCCGAAUAUCUACGAAUUUCACCUCUACACUCGGAGUUCCACUCACCUCUCUCGACCUCAAGACUGCCAGUAUCAAGGGCAGUUCCGGGGUUGAGCCCCGGGAUUUCACCCCUGACUUAACAGUCCGCCUACGUGCGCUUUACGCCCAGUAAUUCCGAACAACGCUAGCCCCCUCCGUAUUACCGCGGCUGCUGGCAC
rnacentral:rRNA from 1 species